GCUGUCGCUGACUUUUUGACACAAAAGUYGUGCACGCCGGAGCGUGUCCUCUCACAUAAAAUCCAUCUCACCCUUUUGUGCACCACCGCGUGGGCACCUUUUGGGAUCGAACCGAUCCUGGAGGGGGCUUGCGUUUUCACACAAACCCCUUUUAAAAAGUGUAGAAUGACCCCAUUUUGCGAUGACACGCAAUCAAUACAACUUUCAACAACGGAUCUCUUGGCUCUCGCAUCGAUGAAGAACGCAGCGAAAUGCGAUACGUAAUGUGAAUUGCAGAAUUCAGUGAAUCAUCGAAUCUUUGAACGCACCUUGCGCCCCUUGGUAUUCCGAGGGGCACACCCGUUUGAGUGUCGUGAAAAUCUCAACCUUCUCGGUUUUCUUCUGGACACCGAAGGAGGCUUGGACUUUGGAGGACUUUGCUGGCGUCUCUCUCUUUUUGAGAGCCAGCUCCUCUUAAACGAAUUAGCGGGGUCCUCUUUGCCGAUCCUCGACAUGUGAUAAGAUGUUUCCAUGACUUGGUUUCUGGCUCUGUUGCCUU
rnacentral:rRNA from 1 species